AUUCAGCUAGAAAUAUUUAUUCAUUACUGUAUAUAAAUAAACGGUUCACAUAAGAGCAACCUCUGUAGCUACUAGAGUUUUGAAUUUUGGUUGAUCCUGUGACUCAAUUUUACAACAAUAUUACUACGUAAACAAAAAACUGAAUAGAUAUACAAUAAAUGUACUGUGAAUUCUUGUUUUUACUCAUGAGAUACUAAUUUGGAUGGAUUUCAUUAAUUAGUCAUGGAUUACUUAUUUUAGAAUUUAAUUAACAACAAGAAAAUACUUGACGAAUAUUCGAUAUAACUUGACUACAUUUCCCACUGCCGUUCUCAUAUUUAUUUGAGUACAACUACCCAUUCGAAACAAGAUUUUCUUAGGUAUUUACCUACAAUCAAAUACAGCAUGUUUCAUGAUUUCAAAGUGGCAGAAAUUCAAUAUCUUAAAUUCUAAAGUUUGAUGAGAUGUGGAAUUGAGCAGUUCUAUUAAUUUGAAAUGAACAUAGUAAAUGCAGAACAUACAAAUGAUUAGUAACAAAGGUCUGACUAUAAAGCUAAGAUUUUGAUUCUUACUUUCAAUUUUUUUAUAUAACAUGUAUAAUUGCCCUUAACAAAAUAUGCAUGUUGAAGCCGUACCUUGACCUAUAAUUGUUUACUUUCAUAAAUUGUUAUUUGGAUGGAGAGUUGUCUCAUUGGCACUCAUACCACAUCUUCCUAUACAUAUCAUACACUUUUCGUAAAAAAUAUCAUUUUGGAAACAGUAAUUUAGAAAUUCCAUAUUCACUGAACUGUCUUUUUUCCUAUUUUCAACAAAAUUGGAACCAAAGAAAAUAAAAUAAAAAGUCACAGCAUCAAAAUAACAAAAUAAAAACAUUAUUAACCACAAUUAACUUUUAACUGUUGAUAAGUACCAAUUAAAGUGGAUGAUAGCAAGAAAAUGGCAAAACCAUAUGAAAUAUCCUGAUUAAAACUUAACCAAUUCAAUAAAUAUAUACAUAUAUUAGUUUAACACUAUCAAUAAUUAAAUACAUAAUAUAUAUCAUGUAUGUAAACAACAAUAAAAUGCAUACAUCAGUUCAGCCUCAAUUAUUAUUAAAUAACAUAUUUACAUGCAAAACUAACAUUUGAUAGAAGCUAUGUUAUUAUUAGUGUUUUGAAUAAUUUGUUCUUACAGAAAAUAGGAAUGUGUUCAUGGGUCUCGCUGUCCAGAUUUAAUAAAUCAUGAAAUCAGGGCUGCCAAAUAAUUUAGGAAAAUAAUUAAAAUGAACACGUCUACAAGAUAUCGAAUUGGUCUGACACAACUUCAUGAUUAACAACAUUAAUUAUCACAAUAAAAUUUGGUCACAACUACCUGCUAGAGGAUGUUUGAAUGAACUAACAAUAUAACACAAUGCACCUCUUCUACUAUAAAUAUUGUAUCAUUAAAAUCGAAAUGCAGUCAAGUUUCUCGUUAUCAAUUAAACCAAUGUAAAUGCAGAUAUUUUAAUAUUUCAUCAAAAUUCUCUUUUUCCAAAAUUUAAGCUGCUUUUUUAGUGCUUUGUUAAAUAUUUCAUCGUUGGUUUUAAAAUCUGGCCUUCAAAGUUUUAAAUGUCUACAAAACAUAUUGUAUGCAUAUCCCAUGACUUUGUGCAUCAAACUACCUUUAACAAGUAUAUUCUGUAAUUUCUCACAUAAAAUCCACGUAUAAAAUCAAACUCAAAUAAUAUUUGAGUUCUUUCAUCUGGAAUUUUGUAGUGUUAUAGAAAAGAAAUCUUUGAAGGACAAUGCAAAUGAAUUUCUGGAUCGAAAAGAAGGCCAAUGAACAAAGCUUAAAAUGAAGAUAUUAACAUUGUUUGAGGUAUUUACUCAACAGUAUCUACUGUAACGAGUUAGUCUUAAUGACAAGAUCUUGAUGUGUUUUAUAACCAACAGAAGAACCAUUGUUAACAUACAUCAGUUUGCUUAGUUUCUUCAUUUUCUCUUUUCCUUUUAUUUGCUUUGAUUUGUUUAAUGAGUGGUAUAUAGUAAACACGUGAUGGAAUAAGUGAACACAAUAGUGUUUGUUACCUUAACCCUGUGUUGCAUUCACAGUUAUGUUAUUCAUAUUCCCAUUUAAUGUUUAAAUAUAUAGUUAGUUGUGCUUGGAAAUAUAUGCGCUAUAUACUCUUGCACAUGGGUAACUUUAGAUUCGGAUAAUUUUGUUCUACAGUUUCUUGCCAGCAAUAAUGAUAAUUUGAUAGCUAUUACUUUUUGGCCUGUAGUAAGUACUGAUACAUGAAAUAUCCUUAUUGUCGUUCUUCUUCAAAGUUGUGCGUUUUCCGUCAGACUUAACACCAUAUUGGUAAAACAUGUGGUGGAAUGUAUGUACAAGUUUUAGUACAUUAACUGUGAAAGGACACUAUCCUAGAUCUUUAUAGUUAUAUACAGCCUUAUUUUGAAUGUUUAUUCAUUUAGUAAAUGAUUAAUACAUAUACAAUGUUAUAACAACAAACAAUUUAAAGACAGUUGGUUGUCUGUUUUACGAUUCAUUAUUUAUCUACCAAUGUAAUUUAAAACUAAUAUAAUUUUUAAAAGACACGUUUUUACUUUCAAAACAUACGAUAAGCCGACAAAAGAUGCUACCACAAAAUCCACAGUUUUAAAUUGACUACGGCCGGUCUAUUCUUCAUUAGAUCAAUGCUAACAACUCUCGGUCUGCCAUAUGGCAGGAAAAACCAUGCAUUAUCCCUAAAUAACCAAAUGUUUUGAAAUGCGUAUUUAAUUAAAAUAUUGAAUUAUUUGUUAUUGUUAACACGGACCCGACCAACGAAAAGGUAAAUAAAAAUUAUAACAACAUGACGAAAUAACAGGCGGCAAUAAUACAAAUUAGAACAAUAGAGUGUAAAUGUCCAAAAAUAGUACUUAUUCAAGAUAAAUGAUAAUAUGAUAUAAAUACAACAAUGGUUAGUUUUUAUGUCGAUAUUACGUACAUGGUUAAAAUAAAAAAAACGAACUUUGAAAUUUGAUAUCUAAAAUGAGACGGAAUGUAUAAAUAUCAUAAAUAACUUAUCAAGGAAACAUCGAUUAGGAGUCAUGUUUAAAUAUUAUUCUAUGCAAUUUAAAAAAAAAUAUAAUAUAACUAAAUAUAUAUUAUGUCAGUGUUUUCCUUAAAUUACAAUGUUGUGUUAGAAUUGUGUGAUUUAUUUUUUGUUAGUAUACAAUUAGGAACAACUCUCAAUAAUGUAUUAGUAUUCAUGUAAUAAAAAGGUAAAUUUCAGAAACAAAAGUGCUCUAGAAGUAAAACAUAUACAAAACAAAUCUUAUGGUUCCGCUUCUUCUUCUUAUUAGCAUUGGUUAGCGCAACAAUGUUCUGCAGUUGGUGUGUCCUAUCAACGAUGAAAUUGUAUCUGUUAAAGAAAAAAA
rnacentral:lncRNA from 1 species